UAAUACGUAGGGUGCAAGCGUUAAUCGGAAUUACUGGGCGUAAAGCGUGCGCAGGCGGUUAUGUAAGACAGAGGUGAAAUCCCCGGGCUCAACCUGGGAACUGCCUUUGUGACUGCAUAGCUGGAGUGCGGCAGAGGGGGAUGGAAUUCCGCGUGUAGCAGUGAAAUGCGUAGAUAUGCGGAGGAACACCGAUGGCGAAGGCAAUCCCCUGGGCCUGCACUGACGCUCAUGCACGAAAGCGUGGGGAGCAAACAGGAUUAGAUACCCUGGUAGUCCACGCCCUAAACGAUGUCAACUGGUUGUUGGGUCUUCACUGACUCAGUAACGAAGCUAACGCGUGAAGUUGACCGCCUGGGGAGUACGGCCGCAAGGUUAAAACUCAAAGGAAUUGACGG
rnacentral:rRNA from 1 species